UGGGGAAUUUUGGACAAUGGGCGAAAGCCUGAUCCAGCAAUGCCGCGUGUGUGAAGAAGGCCUUCGGGUUGUAAAGCACUUUUGUCCGGAAAGAAAUCCUUGGCUCUAAUACAGUCGGGGGAUGACGGUACCGGAAGAAUAAGCACCGGCUAACUACGUGCCAGCAGCCGCGGUAAUACGUAGGGUGCAAGCGUUAAUCGGAAUUACUGGGCGUAAAGCGUGCGCAGGCGGUUUGCUAAGACCGAUGUGAAAUCCCCGGGCUCAACCUGGGAACUGCAUUGGUGACUGGCAGGCUAGAGUAUGGCAGAGGGGGGUAGAAUUCCACGUGUAGCAGUGAAAUGCGUAGAGAUGUGGAGGAAUACCGAUGGCGAAGGCAGCCCCCUGGGCCAAUACUGACGCUCAUGCACGAAAGCGUGGGGAGCAAAACAGGAUUAGAUACCCUGGUAGUCCACGCCCUAAACGAUGUCAACUAGUUGUUGGGGAUUCAUUUCCUUAGUAACGUAGCUAACGCGUGAAGUUGACCGCCUGGGGAGUACGGUCGCAAGAUUAAAAACUUAAAGGAAUUGACGGGGUCAUAGCUGUUUCCU
rnacentral:rRNA from 1 species